rnacentral:rRNA from 1 species
AUUGAACGCUGGCGGCAGGCUUAACACAUGCAAGUCGAGCGAGCGGCGGACGGGUGAGUAAUGUCUGGGAAACUGCCUGAUGGAGGGGGAUAACUACUGGAAACGGUAGCUAAUACCGCAUACCAUCAGAUGUGCCCAGAUGGGUUUAGCUAGUGGGUGGGGUAAUGGCUCACCUAGGCGACGAUCCCUAGCUGGUCUGAGAGGAUGACCAGCCAAACUGGAACUGAGACACGGUCCAGAAGCCUACGGGAGGCAGAAGUGGGGAAUAUUGCACAAUGGGCGCAAGCCGGAUGCAGCCAUGCCGCGUGUGUGAAGAAGGCCUUCGGGUUGUAAAGCACGUUCAGCGAGGAGGCGUGAAUCGCAGAAGAAGCACCGGCUAACUCCGUGCCAGCAGCCGCGGUAAUAG